rnacentral:rRNA from 1 species
UGGGGAAUAUUGCACAAUGGGCGCAAGCCUGAUGCAGCCAUGCCGCGUGUGUGAAGAAGGCCUUCGGGUUGUAAAGCACUUUCAGCGGGGAGGAAGGCGGUGAGGUUAAUAACCUCAUCGAUUGACGUUACCCGCAGAAGAAGCACCGGCUAACUCCGUGCCAGCAGCCGCGGUAAUACGGAGGGUGCAAGCGUUAAUCGGAAUUACUGGGCGUAAAGCGCACGCAGGCGGUCUGUCAAGUCGGAUGUGAAAUCCCCGGGCUCAACCUGGGAACUGCCUUCGAAACUGGCAGGCUAGAGUCUUGUAGAGGGGGGUAGAAUUCCAGGUGUAGCGGUGAAAUGCGUAGAGAUCUGGAGGAAUACCGGUGGCGAAGGCUGCCCCCUGGACGAAGACUGACGCUCAGGUGCGAAAGCGUGGGGAGCAAACAGG